GCGCUGGGGUUUUUUUUUUGUCCGACUGCACCCAAUGAUGUCAUCUAGGCUACGUCAACCGCAAACGUCACCAAACACACCAGAGCUGGCCUGCUUUCACUGCGCACUCGUCUUAAUGAAAAAGCUUCCUCAUCCAAUGCUGUGUUCACUCUCCAUCACCAGUUCCACCUGAUCUUCUCCAUUCUCCAAGACGUCAUGAGACUGGCACUGAUUUCUCAUAAACAUGUAAUAUACUGUGGGUGUAUAGAUUGAUGUUAUUGUGAGAAGUUAUUGCUUUCGCAUGAUAUGAGCAUCCACAGGCAUGUUUUGCUUAUGUGUGUGUGUGUGUGUGUGCGUGUGUGUGUGUGUGUGUGUUACACUGCAGUGCUGUUGUACCCUGCAGAAUCCAGCCCCAUAUACCGUGCUGCAUUUACCACAGCAUAGCAAUGACGUAAUCACCCUCCUCAUCCUCAGCUACUGAUGAAGGUGGCAGCAAGGAUGAGCUUGACUGACAGAUAAGCCCCGCCCAAUCAGUCCAAUCCGUCUUUCCUUCAUUUCACUACCCUCGAGUGAAAGGAGGUAAAAAAAAUAUGAAUGAAUCAGCAGCCAUUCUUAAUCUCACCUCUCUCUCUCUAUCUCUCAUUCACUCUUAUUUUUUCACUCUCCUUUUUCACCCCCUCCUUUCCAUUCUCUCUCUCUCUCUCUCUCGCUCUCCUUCUCCAUUAGCUCAUUGUAUAUGAGACAAAGAGAGAGAGAGAUAGAGAGCGCGAGAUAGAUGUGGGGACUGUUGCUGUGCAGAUUAUGGGCUGUAAUCCUCAGGCAGGGUAUUUGGGCUCAAACUUGAUUGAGAGCAGAACAGUGAGAGCAGUGUGAUGCUGCCAUCUGCUGGUCAAGGGAAACUGUCAUUUUCUGAAGUCUCACAGCUCGAAAAUAAAAAUGGUGUACGAAGUCUCAGAUGUACCAUCAGACGGAGGCGAAAACGUCACGUGACUGAGGAAGAAAGUCCUCUAAGGCUUAAUACAGACAGCUGGGACCAAUCAUGACGCACCCUCGAACAUCGACCAAUACCCGAGCUGGAAGUGAACAAAACCAAAACAAAAGACGUGUGUCCAUAGGAAACAGUCUUAGCGUCCAUGCGCUCUUCGAGCACGUGCACGUUGUCUCCACAGUGACCUCUUCCGGCGAGAUCGUGACACCUACGAUUCUGCUUAAAGUACCAUGACAGAAACAUGUGUGAUUAAGUGAACAAAUUAAUAUGACACAUAAAAAUUAAACAUUUUAAAGUAGAAUUUUUUGGUGUGGUUAUACAAUGCAGGUAUGUAGUCAUGUCAACGGAAAUUGAGUUAUCAGUGUCCCAAUGUGUAGUGAGCUGGGGUCCUUUCCAGUACCCCAACUUGUGUACACUAUAUACGGAUACACAACAUACGGAGAUAUGGAAUGCAUGUAACAGCGUUACGUAAUCAGGAUACAAAAAAAAACUGUUAACUGUAAUCUGUUACAGUUACGUCAAAAAACUAAAUUACUCGGAUUAUUGGUACAUUUAGUAAAAAAUGGGAAUGCUAACAGGAUUCAUUUUCUUUUCAUUUAAAGCCAAAGAAAUUAAUCUUUUGACAUAACAGAAUAUAGACAGCUGCUUGAUUAUAGUUCUGGUUAUCUCUUGCCAGUCGUGGCUCACAUGAGCAACCUCCUGGUGCAUGCGCAAAUAAAUUUGAAAUCCUGAAAAGGAUAAGCGGUAUGGAAGAUGGAUGGAUGGAUGGAUGUUCUCUGAAAUGCUUUUGUUAGGCUGACCUUACGUCCUCUUUUUCGGACCUUACAAAAACCUCCAAAGCAAUUUGAGAAAAUGUCCAGGAUUUGGCUUUAGUUUCAUUAUGAUGUGCUUAUGGUCUACUGCUGCAUCAUCCAUUCAUCCAGCUUCUACCGCUUACUCCUUCUUCAGGGUCACGGGGGAACCUGGAGCCUAUCCCAGGGAGAAUCGGACACAAAGCAGGGUACACCCUGGACAGGGUGCCAAUCCAACACUCACAUACACAUUCAUACACUAUGGACACUUUUGGACAUGCCAUUCAGCAUGUCUUUGGACUGGGGGAGGAAACCGGAGGAAACCCCCACAGCACGGGCAGAACAUGCAAACUCCACACACACAGGGCCACGGUGGGAAUCGAACCCCCAACCCUGGAGGUGUGAGGCAAACGUGCUAACCACUAAGCUAACUUUUGUGAUGUAAUGUUACUGCAUCAGG
ensembl:lncRNA